AUUGAACGCUGGCGGCAUGCCUUACACAUGCAAGUCGAACGGCAGCACGGAGCUUGCUCUGGUGGCGAGUGGCGAACGGGUGAGUAAUAUAUCGGAACGUACCCUGGAGUGGGGGAUAACGUAGCGAAAGUUACGCUAAUACCGCAUACGAUCUAAGGAUGAAAGUGGGGGAUCGCAAGACCUCAUGCUCGUGGAGCGGCCGAUAUCUGAUUAGCUAGUUGGUAGGGUAAAAGCCUACCAAGGCAUCGAUCAGUAGCUGGUCUGAGAGGACGACCAGCCACACUGGAACUGAGACACGGUCCAGACUCCUACGGGAGGCAGCAGUGGGGAAUUUUGGACAAUGGGCGAAAGCCUGAUCCAGCAAUGCCGCGUGAGUGAAGAAGGCCUUCGGGUUGUAAAGCUCUUUUGUCAGGGAAGAAACGGUGAAAGCUAAUAUCUUUUGCUAAUGACGGUACCUGAAGAAUAAGCACCGGCUAACUACGUGCCAGCAGCCGCGGUAAUACGUAGGGUGCAAGCGUUAAUCGGAAUUACUGGGCGUAAAGCGUGCGCAGGCGGUUUUGUAAGUCUGAUGUGAAAUCCCCGGGCUCAACCUGGGAAUUGCAUUGGAGACUGCAAGGCUAGAAUCUGGCAGAGGGGGGUAGAAUUCCACGU
rnacentral:rRNA from 1 species